AAAGUCGUAACAAGGUUUCCGUAGGUGAACCUGCGGAAGGAUCAUUACCGAGUUAGGGUGCCUCGUCGCGCCCGACCUCCAACCCUUUGCUUACUUGACCUAUUUUGUUGCUUCGGCAGGCCCGCCGCCCGGAAACGGGUGGCCGCCGGGGGCGUUUCACCGCCCCGGGCCCGCGCCUGUCGAUGGCCCUAUUAAAACUCUUGUCAAAACGUGUCGUCUGAGUUUAUCUAAACAAAUAAAAACCAAAACUUUCAACAACGGAUCUCUUGGUUCUG
rnacentral:misc_RNA from 1 species